UAGGGAAUCUUCGGCAAUGGGGGGAACCCUGACCGAGCAACGCCGCGUGAGUGAAGAAGGUUUUCGGAUCGUAAAGCUCUGUUGUUAAGGAAGAACGAGUGUGAGAAUGGAAAGUUCAUGCUGUGACGGUACUUAACCAGAAAGGGACGGCUAACUACGUGCCAGCAGCCGCGGUAAUACGUAGGUCCCGAGCGUUGUCCGGAUUUAUUGGGCGUAAAGCGAGCGCAGGCGGUUAGAAAAGUCUGAAGUGAAAGGCAGUGGCUCAACCAUUGUAGGCUUUGGAAACUGUUUAACUUGAGUGCAGAAGGGGAGAGUGGAAUUCCAUGUGUAGCGGUGAAAUGCGUAGAUAUAUGGAGGAACACUGGUGGCGAAAGCGGCUCUCUGGUCUGUAACUGACGCUGAGGCUCGAAAGCGUGGGGAGCGAACAGG
rnacentral:rRNA from 1 species